GAACUAAUGACAGUAACUUCACAUCACUAUCUCCUUUCUGCAGCUGAUUGGUAGAUCUGUCUGCUCACAUGGCGCCGCUCUGCUGCAUCUGGACAGCGAUGCGAUCGCCUUGAGACGAGUUCCUGCAUUUGCCGAGUUGUACACAACACAAUGUUAAAUUGUAAUCACUGAGCUCAACAAACCAGCGAGGCGGAAGCCAGAACUUUGCCUGAAGUUGGAGAAAAACGUUUCUUUGGGCCGGUUCAUUUAAUAACGUUCACAUAAUUAAAAAGAAUCGUGAUGAUUUUGAAAGCUAGUUAAUGCUAACGAUGCACCGCUGCAUCACUCAGCUAACAUCAAGAAUCUGAAAGCUGUUCCCCGAUCUACCGGAUCCAAGUCCCGUCCUCGCCACAGUUAGCACUACACGUGCCACAUUGACUUUUUUUACUGCAUUUUAAAGACUACAUUUGUUUAUUUUUAUAUUUCAACCAGGACAGACUCCGAAGUGACAAACAUUGCACAUGUAUAAUAUUGAAAUGUGCAGAAUCUUUGGCGAUUGGACUCCAUCCUAAACCGGGAGAAUCAACGGGCCGUGAUGCCGAGUUCUGCUUGACAGAACCUCCAACCGCUGAACCGCUGAACCGCUGGAGGUGCCUGAUGGGUGGAGGAGGGUCGCAUCCGGCUUCGCACUGAAAUGACCCCCGGCAGCGACACAGAGAGAACCCCUUAAAAAAGGUUUGACAGCAACUGUGUGAUUGGUUAAGAGCCACGGCGCCGCCUCUGUUUGUCGCUUGCACCUGGCGCAGCCAAUCUCCGCUGAUUGGAUAAUUCUGGGAGACCAGCUGAAGCAUCUCUACGUCACGUGUGGCAUGACGGGAGUCUUCCUUCUGGAACUACCGCUUACGCUCCAUUUGUCUGGAUCCCAAAGCGUGAAACAGAAGGCCGUGAUGAACCAACGGUUUCCAAUGCAGAUGUGCAAAUACGUUCUCCUAUCGAGACUACAAGAGCCCAGGAAGAAAUGUAGCUGAUAGUCCCUGUGUGUCUACGGAGGAAAGUUUCACAAUCAACCAGACCUGCUCGCUGCCUUCCAGAGUGACUUGACUCAUUUAUGUUUUAGAGAGAUUACCAGCAGGAAAACGCUCGAAAGACGGCAAAUAUUUACUUCGUUAAUGAAAAAGGCCCAGACAGAAUUACUUUGGCCAAUUGAAAAUUGGAAUUUGUGGGCAAGGUGUCUGCACAAAACACGAUAAGCUCUCCUCUAUGUGCAACAAAGCGCGUUGCUAUGGAGAAGAGAUGCAAUAUUUGCCGCCUUCCAUCAAAGAAGACUUUCCGUGUGCUAACGUCCGACCGCAUGCAGCUGUAACCUUUCACAUCUGCCUAAAAGUCCUAAAAAUACAUGGUUAAUGUUCCUAAAAGAAAACAAGAGAACAGAGAAUCCUUUUUAGUUCCAGCGCGACACUGAAAUCCGAAUUAUAGUUUAUAAAAAUAUAAACGUUUAAACGGUAAUGGAGGCAGACUGCGGCUGCACUUCAGUGAACAGUCGGCAGUUGUUUUGCAUACGGGGGGGCAGAUGGGGGGGCACAGGGAAUAAAGCCUUUCAUUGAAUAAGUCCAUCAUGCUUUAAGAACAUGAGCAUGCACACGAAAAGGUACCGUGGAUGUUUUUUUUCUCAUUUGAAAUCUUUUAUUAUGGAGACAUUUUCCCUGAGGGACGCUACUCGGCACACGUGGGGAGACUGAGGGAAAAUGAAAAGUGUAAAAUCCUACUGGAGCUUUUUUUUUCCCCCUCAUGUGAUACGAAUAAGUAAAGGAGACGCGCGUCCUUGUGAUUUAGGGGUCGGGGAGAAAGUACCGAGGGAGGUCAGCGGCGUGUUUCAGCCAGACUGAAAUCCGUAGCGGCGCUCAGCGGAGGAAAGGCGUGGCUCCACGCGUAGCCCUUCUGCUAUUGGCCUAUUUUUUUUAAACCGUUCACAAUCGUCUCAGGUUGAGCACAGGCUGCAGCGGCGGAGCACCAGGGCCAAACGGUUUUUGCUUAGAAAAUAAUGGGAACGGUGUUAUUUCUACUGUGUAAAUUCUAUAGAUCAAUAAACUGUUUAGGCUUCUAUAGUAGAAUUUAAUUCCAGAUUUAUGACGUGUGACGUGCGUUGACUGCAGCGCAUUUCUCCCUUUUUCUUCUCGGCAUUAAGGACUAUUUCAUAUUUUGUUCCUGCAGAUGGAUCCGCCUCACUUUCAUUCUUUAGAAACUCGCUUGCCUCCAUCUUGGUCCGUCCUUUGUUGUCCUGUCGCAAACAUUUGCCGUAAUUGUUUUUGAUUUCGAUAUUUUCUAAUUAAAUUCAGCAACUCCGUCCGAAAAAGACAUUUUGAUUAUAUGCCAGCGGCCUGAAUAAUUCAAGGUCUUCAAACCGAAAUGGGUUCUCCGACCGACUCCGCAACCUGUAUUAUUUAAAUAUAUCUCAAGAGAAUAAAAGAAAGAAUAGCCCCAAAAAAUUGAAUUGAGAAUAAUAGAGCAACAAUAAUGUUCAGCAGCCUGAUAAUGUUUCUCCCGCUGUGAGUAAAAUAAAAUUAGAUCUUUUCAUAUCCCGGCUCAACGAAUUUUUUUUCUAAACCUUAAAGUUGGAGUAAAAAAUAACAUGUUUUUCUUGGAUGUUUGCGGCUCAUUACACUUAAGCCCGAGGACAGUAAUCUAUGAGAUUACAAAUAAGUGGGCCCCAGUGCUGCAAGGCAGGAUCUGUGCCUUUCUUGCGUGGGGAGAGGGAAUUUGGCAGCACUGCUGUCGAGCCCGUGGAUCAAAGUCCUUUUCCCGCUGCGGUGGCUCAUCACAACACAGAAGGAGAAAGCGGGAGGGAGGGAGGGAGAGGGAGAGGGAGAUAAAGGGAGACAGAGAUCUUGGAGGAAGAGAGCUUACGCCACUCACGGUUGGCUUACUCUCUGCAUGCUCGCUUCGCAUUUUACAUCCAAAACCCGCACCGAGCGUCCCCCAGCGAAGCACGGGAGUCAGCGGGGGAGAGUGGACGUCAGCAUCAGCGCCUUCAAAUGGAUCCUAACGGGGAGUCCAUACUUUUAUAAGAUUGGUCCGGAAAUUAGAGAGUAGCGUGUCCAUUAGUCGAUGUUUGUUCCUUUCGCAGAGAGACGGGGGAUUUUGAAGAAUUGUCAUGGAAACGGUCAUUUACUAGAAUAAACAUGGUUCCUCUUCUCUCAAAAGGGGGCCGCGGCCGCUCUGCUCUCCCUGGAUCUGGUGUUCACCGCCUCUUGUAACCGAGCAGUGUCGUGGAAGCGCCGCGCCGGCCUGCAGGCGUUCUCCGCGUGACUUGACAUCUGCGGACAUUAGAAUAAUGCCACGAAUAAUACAGACUAAUGAAGGCAAAAACAGAACAUCAAUUAAACGGGGGCCUCGGGAUUGGGACCGUGGAGAGUCCCCGAUUGGAGCUGCAGGGACGUGGUCAACCACACUGGCGUGCACGCAGCCGUGCCUGCUGAGGUCUGUUCAGCCAUGAGUUCUUAAUCGACGGCAGAGGAGAAAAGGGAGGCUUUGUUACAUAUUGCAACAGAUUCUACAUGUUUAAUCCCUCUGAAACAACAAUCCAGGGGCAAUUUAGAUCCUUUCUAAAAAAAAUAACUAACGACCUUAAAGUAUUGCAGGAUUUAUGUGUUUGCCGUCUUACGAACAGGGUGUCCUUUCUCUAUUUUCUUUACCCACAAUGAUGGAAAUAUGAGGAGAAUUCUGUAAAGUCCUUCAUCAAAAUUAAAACGCUGCGCACAAUUCCAAUGUUUUCACUCAAAUAAACCUCGUGCACGAACAAAAUGCUCAAAUGUCUCCAUUUAGAGUGUUAUCUGCAGUGUGUGGCACAGUUGGGGAGAAGUCGUCCCCCCCCCCUCUGUCUCCCUCGGCAUUCAUUAUUAAUCAGAGAAUCUUCUUUUUGGUUUCAUGAUCGCUUUGAUAAUCAAGGUUGUUGAUGGGAGAGCACACAUUCAAAAUUGAUAAUUUGAGCAUGGACUACUAAGGGGACAAAAGUGUUAAUUAAUUAAGUGCGUGGACAGAAAGUGCUCCUGCGGUGCUCGGAAAGACUGGAGCCACUUGAGAAUUUGACACAGACCCCCCCCAGAAGCAUGGGUCAUAAUGGAUUUUCAGCAAGCACCACCAAUAAGCUUUCGUGCUUUUGUCCCUUAUUUUUGUUGUCACCAAGAAACACGUGUUACGGGAUUCAAAAUGUCAAUCAGCAAGGAAUGCAAAAGAACAUUUAGAGACGAAAC
ensembl:lncRNA